GACGAACGCUGGCGGCGUGCUUAACACAUGCCAGUCGAACGGAAAGGCCCUGCUUUUGUGGGGUGCUCGAGUGGCGAACGGGUGAGUAACACGUGAGUAACCUGCCCUUGACUUUGGGAUAACUUCAGGAAACUGGGGCUAAUACCGGAUAGGAGCUCCUGCUGCAUGGUGGGGGUUGGAAAGUUUCGGCGGUUGGGGAUGGACUCGCGGCUUAUCAGCUUGUUGGUGGGGUAGUGGCUUACCAAGGCUUUGACGGGUAGCCGGCCUGAGAGGGUGACCGGCCACAUUGGGACUGAGAUACGGCCCAGACUCCUACGGGAGGCAGCAGUGGGGAAUAUUGAACAAUGGGCGGAAGCCUGAUGCAGCAACGCCGCGUGCGGGAUGACGGCCUUCGGGUUGUAAACCGCUUUCGCCUGUGACGAAGCGUGAGUGACGGUAAUGGGUAAAGAAGCACCGGCUAACUACGUG
rnacentral:rRNA from 1 species